rnacentral:rRNA from 1 species
UGCAAGUCGCGGGAGAAAGCCCCUUCGGGGGCGAGUAGACCGGCGGACGGGUGAGUAACGCGUGAAAGAUCUACCCGGAGGCGGGGGGCAACUCAGGGAAACCUGGGCUAAUACCGCAUACAGCGGCGGGUGUAGAGGCCCGUCGUGAAAGCUGGCCUCUCCUUGGAAGCUAGCGCCUCCGGAUGAGUUCGCGUCCUAUCAGCUCGUUGGUGAGGUAACGGCUCACCAAGGCGAUGACGGGUAGCUGGCGUGAGAGCGUGGCCAGCCACACUGGGACUGAGACACGGCCCAGACUCCUACGGGAGGCAGCAGUGGGGAAUCUUGCACAAUGGGCGAAAGCCUGAUGCAGCGACGCCNCGUGGGGGAGGAAGGCCCUAGGGUCGUAAACCCCUGUCAGGCGGGAAGAAACGUUGGCCGGCAAACAGCCGGUCGGCCUGACGGUACCGCCAGAGGAAGCUCCNGCUAACUCCGUGCCAGCAGCCGCGGUAAAACGGANGGAGCCAAGCGUUGUCCGGAAUUA